rnacentral:rRNA from 1 species
UACGGAGGGAGCUAGCGUUGUUCGGAAUUACUGGGCGUAAAGCGCACGUAGGCGGCUUUGUAAGUUAGAGGUGAAAGCCCGGGGCUCAACUCCGGAACUGCCUUUAAGACUGCAUCGCUUGAAUCCGGGGAGAGGGAUGCGGAAUUCCAGGUGUAGCGGUGAAAUGCGUAGAUAUCUGGAGGAACACCGGUGGCGAAGGCGGCAUCCUGGACCGGUAUUGACACUGAGGCGCGAAAGCCAGGGGAGCGAAAUGGG